ACGAACGCUGGCGGCGUGCUUAACACAUGCAAGUCGUACGGUAAGGCCCUUUCGGGGGUCCACGAGUGGCGAACGGGUGAGUAACACGUGAGUAACCUGCCCACAACUUUGGGAUAACGCUAGGAAACUGGUGCUAAUACUGGAUAUGUGCUCCUGCUGCAUGGUGGGGGUUGGAAAGCUCCGGCGGUUGUGGAUGGACUCGCGGCCUAUCAGCUUGUUGGUGGGGUAGUGGCCUACCAAGGCGGCGACGGGUAGCCGGCCUGAGAGGGUGACCGGCCACAUUGGGACUGAGAUACGGCCCAGACUCCUACGGGAGGCAGCAGUGGGGAAUAUUGCACAAUGGGCGCAAGCCUGAUGCAGCAACGCCGCGUGCGGGAUGACGGCCUUCGGGUUGUAAACCGCUUUCAGCAGGGACGAAGCUUUUUGUGACGGUACCUGCAGAAGAAGCACCGGCUAACUACGU
rnacentral:rRNA from 1 species